rnacentral:rRNA from 1 species
AUUGAACGCUGGCGGCAUGCCUUACACAUGCAAGUCGAACGGUAACAGGUCUUCGGAUGCUGACGAGUGGCGAACGGGUGAGUAAUACAUCGGAACGUGCCCGAUCGUGGGGGAUAACGAAGCGAAAGCUUUGCUAAUACCGCAUAAGAUCUACGGAUGAAAGCAGGGGACCGCAAGGCCUUGCGCGAACGGAGCGGCCGAUGGCAGAUUAGGUAGUUGGUGGGAUAAAAGCUUACCAAGCCGACGAUCUGUAGCUGGUCUGAGAGGACGACCAACCACACUGGGACUGGGACACGGCCCAGACUCCUACGGGAGGCAGCAGUGGGGAAUUUUGGACAAUGGGCGAAAGCCUGAUCCAGCCAUGCCGCGUGCAGGAUGAAGGCCUUCGGGUUGUAAACUGCUUUUGUACGGAACGAAAAGACUCUGGUUAAUACCUGGGGUCCAUGACGGUACCGUAAGAAUAAGCACCGGCUAACUACGUGCCAGCAGCCGCAGUAA